UUUUUACUUCCUCUUUUGGUAUGCUGGUUCUUGUCUAUUUAUUUGUUCCUUUUGGUUUUGAGUUGAUGUGAAGGAAGCAAAAGAAAAGAAUUUUGCUUAAGAGGUAAGAUACAUGGUAGUUGGGCAUAGGGUUGAGGAUGGAUACCAAGAAUAUCCCUUCCAUCGUUCUCAUGAUUUGAGUUCAAUGGUGAAGUGGGCAUGGCUUUCUGCCUUUCUUGUUUUCCUUUUAUGUCCAUACAACAUGAAUUUCCAGUGCCCACUCUUUAAUUUUCUUUCCCAAAAGUACAAACCUCCCUCCCUCUCUCUCCCUCUCUCUCUCUCUCCCAAAAUCCUAUUAAUAUAGAGAGAGAGAGAGCCAUCUCUUUCUCUGUCCUACAUCACAACCUCAUUAAGAGGACGCCUAAAGAACAAGUGUUUCUGUCCUUCACACCCAUCACCAAAAAUUUUGAAAGGAUAAGCACAUGCCAUUCCAGUGGUCAUUAUUGAAAAGCAACUUUACGUACACUUUCCAUGCCUCACACCUCCUUGUCUCCCUUUCCUUCUUCCCUAAUCUCUCUCACAC
rnacentral:lncRNA from 1 species